rnacentral:rRNA from 1 species
CCUACGGGUGGCAGCAGUGGGGAAUAUUGCACAAUGGGGGGAACCCUGAUGCAGCGACGCCGCGUGAGUGAAGAAGUAUUUCGGUAUGUACAGCUCUAUCAGCAGGGACGAGACAAGACGGUACCUGACUAAGAAGCCCCGGCUAACUACGUGCCAGCAGCCGCGGUAAUACGUAGGGGGCAAGCGUUAUCCGGAAUUACUGGGUGUAAAGGGAGCGUAGACGGCUGAGCAAGCCUGAAGUGAAAGGCGGGGGCCCAACCCUGGAACUGCUUUUGGAACUGUACGGCUAGAGUGCAGGAGAGGUAAGUGGAAUUCCUAGUGUAGCGGUGAAAUGCGUAGAUAUUAGGAGGAACACCAGUGGCGAAGGCGGCUUACUGGACUGUAACUGACGUUGAGGCUCGAAAGCGUGGGGAGCAAACAGGAUUAGAUACCCGAGUAGUC